GGGAGAGAGAGGAGGGAGAGGAGCGGAGGCUGGGGGCUGGCGGACUCAUCGAGCUGAGCCACACAGCAGUUCAAAGGAGAUCUUCAAAAAUCUUGCUGAGCAAUGAGCUGAUGUUGGCCAUGAACGACUGAAUGAAGAUUCUUCGUGCCGAGAUGAUUAAUAAACUAAAAGUGUUGAACUUGCAGAUAGGCAGAUGAGAUCUGGCACUUCCUCAUGCACCAGAACCUUUACUUGCUGAUGUCAGCAAGAUCUAGAAUUUACUUUGAGUAUGUUGGGUUCUUAGGUCACUGAUUGCUUCUGAAAUUCAAAUCUGUUAAUUUAAGUGACUUGAUUUUCCAAAUAACCUGAAGAGUGAGCAUUUGCAUUGAUGCUUAAAGCAGUGAAGAAGGAAACACAACACCCAUGUGAAUCACUGCACCGUUUAAGAUCUCUGAUUUGUGUCACCUAUAACCAUCCUAUUCAGGUUAUGCCCUUAAGACAGGUCUUUAUCAAAUCCCUGUAUUGCUGCAAGCCAUUCAAAUAAAUACCAGUAGCUGGCAUCAUUUCAGCAAUAUGAAUUGCAUCAAGACUCAGGAUUUUCAUAUUUCAAAGACUGUUAUGAUUUUUAAAGUCACAAACAGGAAUGUGUUUUUGCACAGACCCAUGCUACAUUAUCCACUUAGAGUCAAAUUACAAAAAUAAGCUGUAAACACUUUUGAUGAAAGGAUUGGACACUUCAUUUACACCUUGAAAAUGGAGUUUUGUUUUAAUGCCCAAUUUUGCUUUGGUAUUUAACCUUUCCCCUCUGCUUUACGUAUUCUAUCGUUUCAGUCCAGCUUGCUAUUUAUUUAUCUUUCUGCAGAGAAAAAGGGGAAAAAGGAAAUCUUUUUUUUUUUUUUAAGGAUAAGUAAAUACAUGUACAAAAAAGUGUUCUGAGCUCUUAGUUAAAUGUAUGCUGCAAAUCAUGUUCUGUUUACCUUGGGCAUUUUUUAUUUGGGGUCUUAGGUGAUUUCCAUUGGAGAUGAAUGCACAUUAGCUAAAUGCAAAAUGAAAAACCUUUUACCUGUCAAGGCAUUAAUUAAAGUUUAAUUAGC
rnacentral:lncRNA from 1 species